rnacentral:rRNA from 1 species
UACGAAGGGGGCUAGCGUUGCUCGGAAUCACUGGGCGUAAAGGGCGCGUAGGCGGCCAUUCACGUCAGGGGUGAAAGCCCCCGGCUCAACUGGGGAGGGUCACGCGAUACUGAUCGACUCGAAGGCAGGAGAGGGAAGUGGAAUUCCCGGUGUAGUGGUGAAAUGCGUAGAUAUCGGGAGGAACACCUAUGGCGAAGGCAGCUCGCUGGGACGUUACUGACGCUGAGACGCGAAAGCGUGGGGAGCAAACAGG